rnacentral:rRNA from 1 species
CCUACGGGCGGCAGCAGUGGGGAAUAUUGCACAAUGGGCGCAAGCCUGAUGCAGCCAUGCCGCGUGUGUGAAGAAGGCCUUCGGGUUGUAAAGCACUUUCAGCGGGGAGGAAGGCGUUAAGGUUAAUAACCUUGUCGAUUGACGUUACCCGCAGAAGAAGCACCGGCUAACUCCGUGCCAGCAGCCGCGGUAAUACGGAGGGUGCAAGCGUUAAUCGGAAUUACUGGGCGUAAAGCGCACGCAGGCGGUCUGUCAAGUCGGAUGUGAAAUCCCCGGGCUCAACCUGGGAACUGCAUUCGAAACUGGCAGGCUAGAGUCUUGUAGAGGGGGGUAGGAUUCCAGGUGUAGCGGUGAAAUGCGUAGAGAUCUGGAGGAAUACCGGUGGCGAAGGCGGCCCCCUGGACAAAGACUGACGCUCAGGUGCGAAAGCGUGGGGAGCAAACAGGAUUAGAUACCCCUGUAGUC